GUGAGGCAGAGGCUCAGGGUUCUUCUGCCUACUAGAGGCAAGAGCCUUCUGGCUUCCUGCAUGUUAAGGUGACUCAAUGUGUCUGUCAUUCAUCAACAACCCCUCCCCAGAGAGAACAAAGUAGCAUGCCUAUGUCCUGGAACAAGGCCAGCCGGCCAGGUGGGGGUUGAUUACAGGGAGCCAGUCAUCAAACAUCCUUCUCCCCCGGCCUGGAGAAAUACCUCUGACUUGUGGUUUUAUGGAUCUGUCAUUUGGAUGAAGCUUUCUCAAUCUGGUCUACACUGUGAAAUAAAUGCUGCUCAAGAAGCUUCUCAACUCAAAGAUGUUC
rnacentral:lncRNA from 1 species